rnacentral:snRNA from 1 species
GGAUGUGAGGGUGAUCUGGCUGCGACAUCUGUCACCCCACUGAUCACCAGGGUUGAUUCAACUGAUCUGGCUGUCUAGAUGGGUGUCUCCUUCCUCCCUCACCACUCCAUGUGCCUCCCUCCCGAAGCUGCGUGCUCAGUUGAAGAGGACGGCUUUCCCCAAUAGAGACAGAACUUUCAUCAGUCAAGGGUGUAUGGUAGCUGUGCUGCCCCGCUAGAACCUCCAAACAAGCUCAAGGUCCACUUGUAGGAGAAUGUAGGGUAGUGACGCUUCCAAAACUUCAGACACAUCCAGGUGAGGCACCGUAUGGGGCAGUCUGCCAUUGUUU